rnacentral:rRNA from 1 species
AGUGAACGCUGGCGGUAGGCCUAACACAUGCAAGUCGAACGGCAGCACAGUAAGAGCUUGCUCUUACGGGUGGCGAGUGGCGGACGGGUGAGGAAUACAUCGGAAUCUACUUUUUCGUGGGGGAUAACGUAGGGAAACUUACGCUAAUACCGCAUACGACCUACGGGUGAAAGCAGGGGAUCUUCGGACCUUGCGCGAUUGAAUGGGCCGAUGUCGGAUUAGCUAGUUGGCGGGGUAAAGGCCCACCAAGGCGACGAUCCGUAGCUGGUCUGAGAGGAUGAUCAGCCACACUGGAACUGAGACACGGUCCAGACUCCUACGGGAGGCAGCAGUGGGGAAUAUUGGACAAUGGGCGCAAGCCUGAUCCAGCCAUACCGCGUGGGUGAAGAGGGCCUUCGGGUUGUAAAGCCCUUUUGUUGGGAAAGAAAAGCAGCAGGUUAAUACCCCGCUGUUCUGACGGUACCCAAAGAAUAAGCACCGGCUAACUUCGUG